CUCCUGCGCAAGAUGGCUGCUGCGGGGGCGUCUGCGUACUGAGUGCUAGCGCGGGGGAUGGAGACCUGUAGACUGAGUUCGAGGCAAAGGCAAGGCCUCCGGACGUAAGCGAGCGCCGAGGAUUCUCCUCCGCGGACGUUAUAAUCGAGGCCAGAUCGGCGUCAGAGCAGCACUGCCCAGAGCUGGAGAGCGGACUGCGGAGGCUCCUGGUCCCCGGCUGGGCAGGGACGCCUGCUUUCUGGGCGUUCUCGAAGGUGACUCCUUGUAUUGGGGCUCCCCGGGACGGGAGCGUGCACGGAAGUGGCUCUCCCUGCUCCUGGGGCACUCGCGGAGCGGAUCCAUGCUUCCCGGGGGGACCCUAUCCCCGGGUACCGAGGGACUUCCUACCUUGGGGACCCUGCUGGAGUCGCCGGCGGAGGGGAUCAUUGCCGCCGGAGAAGGGACCCCCACCCCCAUGCCCUGGGAGUCACGGUGACUCCUUGCCUCGGGAUAGUCCUAAAAGCUUGGAGUGAGGGCUGGGGAUUAGCUGGAAGCCCAGGAAACUGCUGGCUGCAGUUGGCAAAUAGGUAUUUGCAUGUUUAUGUGCUUAUUGUCUACCCCAGGGGGGAUGCAAAUUUGGUCAUGGUAAUGUAAAUGUAUUCCGGAUUGCUUCUGGGAGGAGGAAUGUUGGACAUCCUGAGUUGAGGGUGGUUGAGUUUGCUGGUUUAAAAAUGAACUGAGUUAGGUGAUGUUUGGGACAAGCCUUUAAUCCCAGCACUUGGGAGGCAGAGAGGCAGGCAGAUUCUCUGUGAGUUAGAGGCUCUCCUGUCUACAGACCGAGUGCCAGGACAGCCGCCAGGGCUGUUCACACAGAAACCGUGUCUCAAAAAGAGUAUAACAAGCUGUGACUUAAAAACGAACUCUAGGCAAAGCAACUUCUUAUUGAAUCACUUAUUUUCGGCAAGUCUGUCCAAUUUAGCAGAUGUGUCGGCAAUGGCCGCGCUGGCCGUGAACAUUUUCCAUUUAUCACAAAGGCUAAAUAUGCUGCUCCAGAGUUCUGACCAAAGCUGUUGAGGAAGUUCAUGUACUGUAUAUUAAACACGUUGUGCUGCUUAACCCUGGGUUAAAGUGUGCAAGGAAGGAGGCCACUAUCGUCAAGAGAGAGAAUGGCUUACUCAGAAGUUCAGUCCUCUGUGGAUGGUGGGUUAGCAGUCUUUGCAGCAGCCGGCCAGUUCUAGGGGAUCCUCUUCCUUCUCCUUAGUCCUUCGUACAAACUGGCUUCUGAGCUCAUUGUUUUUGCGGCGUGCACAAAGUGUCCUUUGCCACAGUGUCUUUCCUAAUGUGACACAUGUUCACUCAUCUUAUUGUUUCCCCUAUACCUGAUCUCCGAUCAGGUACCUAUUGUAAGCCCAGCUAAAAAUCUGCUGUGGUUCUCUUUGGGCUGUGCUAUGUGAAAUGCUUCCCUAGCAGCUUGGACUUUCCUGGAAGUCUUCCCUAAACACCAACCAGUAGGCUCUGUCUGUGCCUUUUGCUCAGGUGAUAAUUUUUUUAAUUUUUAUAUUUUGGAUGUUCCAGAUAGAGUUUCUUUGUAUCCCUAGCUGUUCUGGAACUGGAGGACUUGUUCUGUAGACCAGGCUGGUUGGGAACUGACAGAAAUCUGCAUGCCUUCUGCCUCCUGGGUGCUGGAUUAAAGGUGUGUGCCACCAUGCCUGGCAAAUCUUUUUAAAUAAUCAAGAAAUUUGGCUUGGUGAGGUGGCACAGGCCUUUUAGUCUGAUCUGCAUAGAGUUCUAGGUCAGCCAGAGCUACACGAGACCAUGUGUCGAAAAAGGAAGGUCUGAGCUGGAUGGUGGUGGCACAUGCCUUUAAUCCCAGCACUUGGGAGGCAGAGGCAGGUGAAUCUCUGAGUUCCAGGCUAACCUGGUCUACAGAGCAAGUUCCAGGAUGGCCAGAGCGACACAGAGAAGCCCUGACUCAAUUCCCCCCACUCCCAAGUGAAAUUUUUUCCCAUGAUUUAUUUUGAUUUUGUGUGUAC
rnacentral:lncRNA from 1 species